GCCACUGUUACAAUUGGGAAACCUAGUUUUUAUCUCAGUCCAUGAGUGAGUCAGUCCUGGAUGGAUGGCGGAGCUUGCUUUUGCGACCGUAUGGAGGGAAACUGGAACUGGGAUGCAUAAUCUGAGAGCUCUUUUCCAUGAAGAGACACGAAACGUAACUGGAGGGAAGUGUUCAGAAAAGAGUUCUUUUCAUGGGUUAAAAUUCAGCAGGAUCUCAUCCCUGGUAUGAUUCAUAGCCUGGAAGACAAGAACACAGCUGGGGGCUGCAGCACGCAACAGAUUUGAGCAAUGUCUGCAGUUUCCAGUCUCCUGUGGAUGAAAAACAAUAAUCGGGUUCUCCAGGGGUGCAUCUUGGUGGGGCUGGAAAGCUCUUUCUGAAAUUAUUUUUCCUGUGGAGAGGGAGAAUUGCAGCCCCAAACUUGAUUCAGAAGGGUCCAGGAUAUUCAAGACUUCAGAGGUCAUUCAGACACAAACUAAGACAGACCAUCUACCAAGUACGUGGCAACUGAGGUCAAAAUUAAAUCUAGGACUUGGUGGGCCUUUCUUUGGAAGAGCACAGCUUUAGCAAUUCCAGUUUGAUGAAGCCAGAGAACCGUUGACCUUUGCUGGCUGUUGAAAUCUUGUUACUCCAUAUCUUCUCAGCGUCUCUCCAGCCAUUUGCAGUGUGACUCACACUCAAAGUGGAGCAGGGAUUGUUUCUGUGUCUGAACGGGACUGGUUUCUUGGGAUGCAGGAACAAGCAGGCACCUUCAGUCGGAUGGCUUUUAUUUUAAAAGUUAAGAGAACAAUAGAAGAAAAGGGAAGAAAAGCCACAUCUUGCUGAGACGAGACCAAAGGUGUGUGUCUUAUCUGAGCACAAGCUGGCUGCUCUGCCCUCUCCCUCUGGUGUCGGUUCACCCCAGGAGCAAGGAGGGAAUCUGGGAAAUGCUUUAAGGGGAGUGAAAGAAGCUGAGGGAGAGUGAAGUUUGAGUUUGGAGGAUAAUUGAAGAUGAACUUUCAUUUACUAAUGGAGCAAGAGCUGAUAAAAAAACCCUCCACCUGACCGUCAGAUCCACUCUGUUCCUUACACUCUCGCAUGAGACUGUCUCACCUCAUGUUCAUUUGUUUGUGGUGUGAUGCUGCUGAAAUGCCAUCAGAGACUGUUGUGGCCCAGGAAAGAUUCUUACUGAGGAAAGUAUAACAGUGCCCUGGGCUUGACAGCAAUGAAGAAUCCUCUAGCUGCUGAAUUCAGAAUUCUUACUUCACCCCAGUUGUGGUGGUAGUGUGUUUUUUCCACAUCCA